CUUGGCUGCACGAAAGUUAGGCAGUCUUUAUUCAUUCCCGCAGUCUGGUUGAACAAGUUGUGUCUUCCAUCGGUACUUUUCGACCCGAGUCUGGCUCAUGUGAUGGGAACCUUCCGGGACUGAAAUCAUCUAUUCCAACUGAGUGGUGCAAUACAAUACACGUUACAUAUUGUUUUUUGAGAAAAGAUAAUACAUUCGCUUUUCCUCUUGUAUAUUUUCUCCUGAUGAUAAAAUCAUUCGUGAAUACAAGAAUAGCCUGGA